rnacentral:lncRNA from 1 species
UGAUGAUGUGGAUAAUGGAGAUCCUAGUGAUAAUAUGGUAGAGAAGGGCCAGUGCAUAUAGUACAAAUGACCCUUAUCAUUAAAGACGAACUGUAAUGAGCAGGCAAGACAAACCAGGUUUCUCUGGGGAAAGAUGUAGAUAACCUGCCUCUGGGUUGUUCUACUUUGGGGAAAAAGGAAAAAAAAAUCUCUGAGCCCUGGAACCCCCUGCUCGGACUCAAGCUCCUGUCCUACAGCAAACUCCUUCCUAAGACCACUGACUUCUCUGUAGUACCACUGGGGAGGGGAAGAGAAGAGGAGGAGACUGGGCUUCUCUUCAUUCUCCUUGUGGGAAUUCUAAGAAAAUAAAACUCAGGAUCUUGGCCACUUCUUGAAUCUUAGAAGCUUGUGAUUCAUUUUCCUCUGGUCAUGGAGCUGGGCAAGAUGAAGGUCUUGACCCCCACAUAUUACAGAUGGAGAACCAUUUCAAGUCCUGUGAAGAUUUCACCCAGAAGGAAUGCCUGCCAGUAGCUGCUCACUGUUAUUUACGAGACAUCAGAUUGAUGUUGAGAAAUUGCACGAGGAGGAUUAAGAAAAGGAAAGAGCUGAUCACUAAUUCUAGCCGGAUCAUUCAGCACAGAUUUUUUCCAGGCUCAUUGCCUGGUCUCAGCCUACAGUUCUCCAGGAUGUCCAGUCAAUGUCCCUACCUACUCAAAAUGUUCCUACAGGCACUAAACAUAAGAUGUCUAGUGGUGGGCCCUUUAAAAACAACGACAACAAACCUCAUUUCCUCCCAAGUCCACUCCAUUCCCAUCAAUGUUUACCUAAGGAUGAAGAGGAAGCAGAGCAAAAAGUGUCUGGAUGACAAACAAAGGAAAUGGUAUUGGCUGCUGUCAGCUGCAUUGACAAGAUCCAGAGCAAGAAAGGUUAGGCAUUUCACAGGGGCCAACAUCAGUGACAUUUACCACUAUAUCCUCUCAGUCCAGAAAAUUUUAUCAACAGCAUGAAUUGUCUCUAUUGCCUCUGGAGCCUUGUUGCUGUUGGAAACAAAAAUCAAUGUGAUACUGAGUUAUAUUAAAAAGCAUAUCACAUUCAAGGGCACAGAAAUAACCCUUACUUGGCAUUGUGUUAUCAUUUAAGUGUACUGUGUUUAAUUUGCAAUAUCAUCAAGAGAUUGAAGAGACUACAGCAGGCUCAAAGAACUGUGGGAAAGAUAUGAAAGGGAUGGAAAACAAGUCAGUCUGAAGAAGGGAUGGCAAAAGGAUUGUUCAGUUACCAUGUUCAAGUAAAUAAAGAGUUUCCAUGGGGAGGAUGCUAAUCA